rnacentral:rRNA from 1 species
UUCGCAAUGCCCGAAAGGGUGACGAAGCGACGCCGCGUGGGUGAAGAAGGCCUUCGGGUUGUAAAGCCCUGUCAGGAGUUAUGAAAUGUAGGUGCGAUAAUACCGUGCCUAUUUGACAAAGGCCCCAAAGGAAGCCACGGCUAACUCUGUGCCAGCAGCCGCGGUAAUACAGAGGUGGCAAGCGUUGUUCGGAAUUAUUGGGCGUAAAGAGCACGUAGGUGGGUUUGUAAGUCAGAUGUGAAAGCCUUCUGUUCAACGGAAGAAUUGCAUCUGAAACUGCGAGUCUUGAGUGUAGGAGGGGAGAAUGGAACUUCUGGUGGAGCGGUGAAAUGCGUAGAUAUCAGAAGGAACGCCGGCGGCGAAAGCGAUUCUCUGGCCUAUUACUGACACUGAGUGUGCGAAAGCUAGGGGAGCAAACGGGAUUAGAUACCCCGGUAGUCCUAGCCGUAAACGAUGGGCACUAAGUAGAGGGGUUUU